AGAAGGCUAUGUUAGCCGGGCGACGGUUGUCCCGGUUUAAGCAUGUAGGCUGGUUGUCCAGGCAAAUCCGGAUAAUCAAGGCUGAGGUGUGAUGACGAGGCACUACGGUGCUGAAGUAACAAAUGCCCUGCUUCCAGGAAAAGCCUCUAAGCAUCAGGUAACAUCAAAUCGUACCCCAAACCGACACAGGUGGUCAGGUAGAGAAUACCAAGGCGCUUGA
rnacentral:rRNA from 1 species